GAUGAAGAACGUAGCGAAAUGCGAUAAGUAAAGUGAAUUGCAGAAUUCAGUGAAUCAUCGAAUCUUUGAACGCACAUUGCGCCCCUUGGUAUUCCGAGGGGCAUGCCUGUUCGAGCGUCAUUAUAACCCCUCAAGCUCAGCUUGGUGUUGGGGCCUGCUGCACUGGCAGCCCUUAAAAUCAGUGGCGGCGCCAUCUGGCUCUAAGCGUAGUAAUUCUUCUCGCUAUGGAGUCCUGGUGGAUGCUUGCCAUCAACCCCCAAUUUUUCUAUGGUUGACCUCGGAUCAGGUAGGGAUACCCGCUGAACUUAAGCAUAUCAAUAAGCGGAGGA
rnacentral:misc_RNA from 1 species